rfam:Eubacterium dolichum CAG:375 genomic scaffold, scf178
AAGCAUGAUAGAGGCGCGAUUGCUAAGAGUAGUUUUUACCACUUUUGCAGGCACAAGGACGAAUGAAAGGAGUAAUCGCCGAGAUUUGCUAGCAUUGCCUGAUGCUAUCAAAUUGGGAUGUCGGAUAAGAUCCGCCAUACUGUCGCACAAUGCGGAGAGCUAUCAUGGCA